GAGAGCUGGAUGCUCAGGAAUGGGCACGUCCGGUUCGGAGGGCGGGCCGGGGAAACUUACCAGUCGUGAGGCUGGCAGAGCGCCCCGGUCCGACCCUAC
rnacentral:ncRNA from 1 species